ensembl:lncRNA
CACAGCAGGACAUACAUAAAGUUGCUGCCCACACAUCAGCUGCUCUUGAACAGGCCUCUGCCCAGAUCUCUGGCAACAUUCAAAGUCAAUUCGAACGGGAUCAUGCACUCCUGCGUGCUGUGGAGGAGUUGAAGGCCUUGGUGAGGCAGAACAACCUCCUCCUCCAGGCCCUUACUAGGCAAAAAACUACAGCAGCAGCAGCAGCAGACACUCUAUCUGAGGAAUUUAAGUUCCCAAUGAACUGCGAGGAAGACCUUCAAAGGGUGGAGGAUUUUCUGAGGGAGAAAUCCCAGGAAAAGGCCCUGGCAGCACACCUUAGUGCGCUUGGGGGCUGCAAUCCUGGUGACGAGGUUCGAAGAAUCCUUCGCCACAUCCUCACCAACCACUUCGCGCUGAAAUUCAACUGGCUUGGCAGAGGAGGGAAGAAGCAGGCUUUUGCCUCCUACAAGGUGUGCAAUGCAGUAAGAGGUGCAUCGGCUAGCCAGAACAUUUCGGCCAGCGACUGCGAGGCAGUUAUUAAAAACUGGCUGAAGUGCAGCGGUGACCGGAGUGACGGAAGAAAGAGGAGAGAAAGCAGAGUCCAUGAAGGUCCCCAGCAGUUCAGUCUUCCUCCUCCGAGUCCUUCACCGGUCAUCCUGGAUGAUACAACUAGCAGCGACAGUGACGACGACUGCAGCAG